UACGUAGGGUGCGAGCGUUGUCCGGAAUUACUGGGCGUAAAGAGCUCGUAGGUGGUUUGUCGCGUUGUUCGUGAAAACUCACAGCUUAACUGUGGGCGUGCGGGCGAUACGGGCAGACUGGAGUACUGCAGGGGAGACUGGAAUUCCUGGUGUAGCGGUGGAAUGCGCAGAUAUCUAGGAGGAACACCGGUGGCGAAGGCGGGUCUCUGGGCAGUAACUGACGCUGAGGAGCGAAAGCGUGGGGAGCGAACAGG
rnacentral:rRNA from 1 species